rnacentral:lncRNA from 1 species
UUUGCGUAUCAUCUGAUAAACUAGCGUACUGUAGAGCAAGCCAGUCCUACUUCAGUGCUGUAGACAGGCAUUAAUGCUUUUGUGGAAUUACUGAUAGUGAUGGCUGAUGAAUAUUCUUUCUACCCAUUUUCUUCUCUAAAUAUUUUAGGGAAAAAAAAAAAAAAAGAAUCCAUAAUGAGAAUAAAUGAAGUAUUUCUUUACUAAAAUCCUUCUGCACAUCCCUCCUUCCACUCCGGAUGCACAAAGAAUUUGAGGAAGGAUUCUGGUUUUGACUUUGGUCCAAGGACAAGCCUCAGGUGUUGUAAGGCUCCUCAGCAUCACCCGUCACUCAGCUGGUGCGAAGCUCUGAGACGGGCUCAGGCAAGCACUUGCAGUCAGGCAGAGCAUGCACGCUGCCAGUGCCCCCGUGCAGGGUGCUGCUGCAAAAGGGUCAGGACAGCUAAGCACUGGCUCAGUGAGGUCCUAGGACACGUAUGUGAGAGAUUCAGUUGAUGGAGAAAAGAGGCUGAGCUAUGAUAAUCAUAUCCAGAUGGAGAUGUCCCUUAUUCACUGGAUUUGUGGAAUACCACUUGUGGGAAAUGCAGGAGAAGCCCAUCUGCAGCCUCGUCGCGUCUGCUCCUCAGCCUGCUGGCAGCAAAGCGGCACGUGUUGCGUUACGGAGAGGCUUGGAGCCAGCCCUGCCUGAUACACUUGUAUGUUGCAUAUUUACAGUAUCUUGUUACAUUCCUUAUGAGUGCUGACAUCUCUGGGUGUAAUGUAUUCAGGAUCAAUAAGUGCCAUUAAAAUCUUUAUGCAUGUUGUAGUUAAGAGGUAGGGAGUGUUUGAACAAGUCCCAAGUU